rnacentral:rRNA from 1 species
CACGUAGGGCGCGAGCGUUGUCCGGAAUUAUUGGGCGUAAAGAGCUCGUAGGCGGCCUGUUGCGUCCGCUGUGAAAGCCCGGGGCUUAACCCCGGGUCGGCAGUGGAUACGGGCAGGCUAGAGGUAGGUAGGGGAGAAUGGAAUUCCCGGUGUAGCGGUGGAAUGCGUAGAGAUCCGGAAGAACACCGGUGGCGAAGGCGGUUAGCUGGGCAGUUGCUGACACUGAGGCGCGACAGCGUGGGGAGCAAACAGG